AUGAUGAGGCCCCCUCGUAAAGUUAUCGUUUAUUUCUCUCUCUUUUGGAGCUUUUCCGGUAGUCAAUCUAAUCCCAAAGACCAGCCGAUCAAGUAUGCCGCUCCUCGUGCCCUUCCCUCCGCCUUGAGCCCUCUCCUCUACCCACGCGGCUUCGUCUUCACCUGCAGCCUCCUCCUCCUCCGCGACGCCGCGCCGCACGAGUUCGUGCCGCGACCGUUCACCGCGUGGUAGGUCUUCCUAGGGCUCAAGUCGGGGCAGGAGAGGAGGGCGAGGUUGUAGCUGGAGUUCCUGUUUACCUCCUUAAACUCAAAAUCACGUUCACCUGACCCAAGUUCCCUAUUUGAUUCCCAAGGCUCCGGCUUUCGUGGAAGCAGGAGGGGUAGUGGAUCGGGCGUCGAAGACGAAGAGAGUCGGGGCUUAUUACAACGGCUCCGAAGAGGUGGUCUUCUAACACUUUUUUCGGGUGUCCUACUGUUCUGAGGCUCAGGUUUAAGGUACUAGGACCUUCGAGAGCUGCUUGACUUUCUCGGUUUACCAAGUCUUCAACGAUGUUAAACGUUAAAGUAUCUCUAACUAUUCAGGAUAUUCGACUGCCUAAGUAUACGUUUUUCCCGAGACCGAGGUUACUUUCUAGGUAGAGAUUUCUUCUUCCUAAGUCGGUUCAGUAGGUUCCGUCGUUUCCCAGAUCCGGUCAACUCAGGACGUGACCUGCGUCGACUUCGACGUCGCUACUUUCAUCGGCUGCGCCUCCGGUUUAGCGUGGAGCGUUUGCUCGUGUACUACCUCCAACUUUCCUAGCCGUUCUACCGACUCCUCUGGCUCAGAGAGGAGCUCGAGCGGAGUCUCGAGAUGCUCGCUACAAGUUCUCCUCUCCGCGAGUGUUAUGACGUUCACCGCGUGUCCCUCAAAACUACCACAACAGCUGGGGCAGUCGACGCGCGGCUGUAGACGAGAGAACAUGUACCUACCUACCUUCGCAUCCGGGUCGGACAACAGAAGAACGGGCGCACAACAGAGACACAACAUCGUAUUGAGCUUAGUUAAGCAACCAACAUGGACUCUCCCGUAAGGAAAGUAACGGAUCCUUACUAAAAUUCAACCACGUAAAACCUAUGACAGGACACAACUUUAGUCCCUUAUUACACAUAGAGCAGGACGGCGGAAAAGGACAUACAUCAGAUUACGUUCAAACCAGUAUACGAGGGAGCCGUUUUAGGCGGAGCCCUCAUAAUGACCGUCAGUACAAAGACAGGGCUCCUGUUCGUUGAACAGAGGACCCACUUGUCAUAUAAGUUUUUUAUCCUUAAUUUAAAUUUUUAAGACUUAAAAAAACAC
rnacentral:rRNA from 1 species